CGGCCGAUGGCAGAUUAGGUAGUUGGUGGGGUAAAGGCUCACCAAGCCGACGAUCUGUAGCUGGUCUGAGAGGACGACCAGCCACACUGGGACUGAGACACGGCCCAGACUCCUACGGGAGGCAGCAGUGGGGAAUUUUGGACAAUGGGCGCAAGCCUGAUCCAGCCAUGCCGCGUGCAGGAUGAAGGCCUUCGGGUUGUAAACUGCUUUUGUACGGAACGAAAAGUCUCUUUCUAAUAUAGAGGGAUCAUGACGGUACCGUAAGAAUAAGCACCGGCUAACUACGUGCCAGCAGCCGCGGUAAUACGUAGGGUGCAAGCGUUAAUCGGAAUUACUGGGCGUAAAGCGUGCGCAGGCGGUGAUGUAAGACAGUUGUGAAAUCCCCGGGCUCAACCUGGGAACUGCAUCUGUGACUGCAUCGCUGGAGUGCGGCAGAGGGGGAUGGAAUUCCGCGUGUAGCAGUGAAAUGCGUAGAUAUGCGGAGGAACACCGAUGGCGAAGGCAAUCCCCUGGGCCUGCACUGACGCUCAUGCACGAAAGCGUG
rnacentral:rRNA from 1 species